rnacentral:lncRNA from 1 species
CUCCAGCCUGGGUGACAGAGCGAGACUUCGUCUCAAAAAAAACCAAAAAUCCAAAAGAACUACAGGCAUCGGCUGUGUCCCCACUAGGAAGCCGGAGGGGAGCAGGGCUGGGUGUGUCGUCUCUGGCUGCGUCCCUGCGGCCACAAGGCCUGUUCUUCCUCUGUGCCCUGCCUGCCAAGGACCCAGCCUUGUGAAGGAUGGAUGAACGAAUCAUUGAGCAAAUGAAUGAGUGUGCGAACAGGGAGAGUCUGCAGCAGGGAGAACCCGGCAGCUUCGAGUGUGGAGGGGAGACUCUGGCUGCCUGAGGGACAACUCCAGACCCAUGAUCCCGGAAGCUCGGGGCCUGCCUUCAUCCCAGC